CAGAGAAGCUUUUGUUCACCAAAAACAAAUUCAUUCGCUAAAGCCCUACAAUCCCCCAACAAGAGAGAGAGAAUCUAUAGAGAGAGACCCUCUCAGAGAGUUAGAGACAGAAUCCUAAUCUGUUUCCUCGAAGAGUUAGGGAGUUAGCGAGGCUCAAUGAACAACCCUAUGGUCUCUCUUCAUUCUAGGGUUUUCUCCUGUUGGGUGGUAACACAUGACGAUUGAAGGUCGGAGAUAUGAAAUUUGAAGAGACAUCCUUGACUAGUUACCUUGUGAAGAAUCUCGAACCUCUGACGGAAGCUGACCCAGUGAUUCUUGCCAAGUAUGUCACGGCAUUAUUAAAAAAAGACAAACCUAUAAAGGAACUACAAAAACUUUGCAAUGAGAACCUGGUUGAAUUUCUGGGCCAAGAUACAAUGCCCUUUAUUUCCAAAUUGUUUCAAGCUCUAGAGGAUGGUACCAUCUUAAUGCCAGCUGAGAGUGUGAAUACUAUCAGCCAAGUGGAAUUAUCCCCUGCUGUUAUUAGUGCAGAUCCUGGUGAACUGAGAAGCUCAUCACCAAAGCCUGAUCGAGUCUCCAGUUCUGCUGCCCAUGAUAGUGAUUCUGAAGAGAAAGAGAUCAGUGAUGAUGAAGAUGACGAUCGCAACCAUAAGCAUCGGAGGAGGGAGACACGAUCCCAGUCCUUUGAGAGAGAAGCUCAUGAACCUUUCCUAAGGAGACUGAACAAGAAUCGGGGCAAGCCAUUUGAAAAUGGACCACCCUUGCUGGAGUCUGAACCUCUGUCCGGUGCAACUCGAAAGGAAUUUACAAAUUCAGAGAGGGACCUCUCUGGAAAACGACGUCUUGGGCCCAUCCCAUUUCCUCGGCCUCCUUUGGAUGUAUGUCAGAGGGCAAGAGGUAGCCAAACAUACUUUGAUUUGUCAACUUCGUUGGGUCACUCACCAAUUGGCAGAGGAAGAGGAAGGGGUAUAGGGUCCUGGGCUCCACAUGAAUCUAGAUUCAAUCCUGUGGAUGCUCUUGAUUUUGCAUCACCAUUAGUUCCUCAAGUACCAAAACCCACAUCUCUAUUUGCUGGAAGGGGACUAUCUAAUGCUGCCAACACAACAAGCCCGUCUUGGGGUGCGUUCGGCUUGAUGCAUGGAAUGCCUGCAGGGGGUCUAGACGCACUCCAUAAUAUGCAUUCGGGUUUGCAAGGAGCAAUACAACCACCCUUGAAUUCUUCAUUAAGUAUUGGCAUUGCUAGGCCUCGUUGUAGGGAUUUUGAGGAACGUGGUUUUUGUCUGCGGGGGGACAUGUGCCCAAUGGAGCAUGGUGUAAAUCGUAUUGUCGUUGAAGAUGUUCAGAAAUCUUUUAAAUGCCAGAGCCUUUCGCAGUUCAAUCUUCCUGUUUCAAUUUCAAGUGCAAGAUUUGUCGGGAUGAGUGCUACAGCAAGUACUCUACCUACAGUCACUGCCUCUUCUACCGUGGCGAUGAAUGGCAAAGGCUUUCUUAACAAAAGCAGCAAAUACAGUCCGAGUGAUGAAGGGUUGAGAUUAAAUGGGGUCCUGUCAUCUUCAGCUCAUAAUGAAGCUGACUUAUAUGAUCCUGACCAGCCAUUGUGGAAUAAUGACCAUCCGGAAACUUCAAGUGGGCUUCUGAAGCUUUCUUCACCUAAGGUGCAUCAUACUGAGCCUCCAUGGGAUUCCGAAUUCUCUGAUCGUCCUACUUCGAGGUUAUCUGAUGAUAUUGACAUUGAGAAGUCAGGUAGAAGCAUGGCAGUUGGGGCUCACAACUCGGUUUCAUCUGUAUGGGGUCGGAUUAGUCACAAACCAGAUGGGUUGAGUAAGAGUGACACCACAUCGAAUGACCGAGCUUAUCAUGCCACCGAAGCAAAUGGGGAACCAGAGGUCCAUAUGAUGGAUGUCCAAAGGCCUUUCCAUCAUGUCAAGCGGAAUUUUGGAACUGUUGCUGAGGAUAGUGAACACAAAUCCACAAAUUUGAUGGGUAGCUCGGUGCGACGAUCUAUCAAUGGGCGCCCUCUCCCAUCACAUGGGAAAGGGUCUGAAAAAGCUCAGCGUACUUUGUUUGUGAAUUGUAUACCCCAGAAUAGCAACAAGAAAGAGGCUCUUCUUUCCCAUUUUAAGAAAUUUGGUGAGGUCAUUGACAUCUAUAUCCCACCUAAUGGCGAGAGGGCCUUUAUCCAGUUCUCAAAAAGGGAAGAUGCGGAGACUGCCCUUAAGGCUCCUGAUGCGGUGAUGGGUAACCGCUUUAUCAAGCUAUGGUGGGCUAACUGGGAUAUUGUUCCUGUGGAAGGAGGUAGUAGUUUUGCUGCUGCACCACCUAAUAUUGUGGCUGCCAGUGUUCCAUCUCAGCGAUUGUUUUCUGAGAAGGGAAAGGAAAAGAUUACAUCUGUGGUUACAAAGAUCAGUAGUGCACCACCUUCUGAUACAUCCUCUACCAGUGCUGUUCCCCUGAAAAACUUCGUGGUGAAAGACUCCAAACCCUUACCUCCAUCACAGAAGAAGCUGGAGACCCUGGAGCACUUGAAGGAAGAGCUGAGAAUAAAGCAGGAAAUGUUGGCCCAAAAGCGUAGUGACUUUCGUAAACAGCUGGAUAAACUUGAAAAACAAGGGCUAGCUGUUAAGGGAGAAACAGCUACUGAUCAUGUUGGUAAAAGACAGAAAACAGAGACUGUAUCUGCAGUAUCUUGUACUUCUAAUCCUACCCAGGUAUCUAACCAUAGUCCAGGUACUGAAUCAGUAGUGGCAAAGGGCAAUUCUGGGGAUAGUGUUUCCGCAAAAAGCUUGAAAGAACAUAUGGGGCCACAAGCUUCUCCAAAAGGUUCAAAACAGCCAUCUCGCCUGGCACCUUCAGUCAGUUCUCCAUUUCUCAUUAAUCGGUAUAAAUUGGACAACCGCCCUACUGCAUUCAAAAUACUUCCUCCUCUACCCACUGGUCUUGCCAAUGCUACUGUGCUCAAGGAGCACUUUGCAGCAUUUGGGGACCUCUCUUUUGUUGAUCUAGAUGAGCAAGAUGAUCAAAUUGACAAUGAUGCCUCAAAGUUGGCGAAAGACUGUUCUGUCCAUAUAACAUUCACUACACGGCAUUCCGCUGAAAGAGCAUUCCUAGGUGGUAAAUGCUGGCAGGGGCAAAAUUUACAGUUCGCAUGGAUCAUACCUUCCAAUAGUGCUAGUGCUAAUGCUAAGCAUUUGUCUGGAGACUGUUCUAGUUCAGCAUCAAAAGCACCUGCUGAUACUUUAAUUGCAGCUGGAAGUUCAGUUCCCCGUCAGGAAUCUGUUGCUGCUGGAAAUGGACUAGCAGACGAUGGGCAGUGUAAUAGAAGUGGUAAAGGAGAGGCCGAAAGGCAGUUUAGCUCUCCAAAGUUGUGCAAAAAGAAACAGCUUGGAAAGGAUGAAAUUAUGAAUUUCAGUGUUAGUGGUGACGUUGGUGAUUCAAUUCCUCAUAGUUGAGGCUUGUGACUCAAGAACAGCUUGAAUGGGUUUACAAAACAAAGGUGCAUGAUGGAAGCACCCCUCAUUUGAGGCAGAUGGCCAUGAAAAUAGUAAAUCUGACUUGCAGCUCUUUUGGAUGUGAGCGCAACUUCAGCACCUUUGAAAUGGUGCAUACAAAGAAGAGGAACAAACUAGAGCAAAAAUGACUGAAUGAACUAGUCUUUGUUCAGUAUAAUCAAAAGUUGCAAGAGAGCCAUCAUCAGCUGGAGCACAAUCAAAGGGAAGCUAUUGAAGCUUUUGAUAUUGAUCACACAUGCAAGUUGAUGGUCGAUGUUAGUGAUGAUGAGGUAUUCCCUAGAGAGGGCUUGACUUGAGGCUAGGUUCGUGAGGCUGCUGGGGCAUCAAUGCCCCCUGUGCAUACCACUCGGGCUCAAACUCAAAGCCAAAGGAAGGAUAAGGCCCGACAAGUGAAGGUAGUGGCGAAGAAGAGGAAGAGGCUGAUGACAUCAAGAGAGGAUGAAGACGAGGAAGAAGUAGAUUCAAAGGAGAUGAGGGAUGAUGCUCAAUAAGUUGAGGAGGGCUAUGACUUUGAUGAUGACGGCAUGGAAACAUCAUCAUCAGAUGCUCCUCAUGAUCCAAUUGGGAUGCCGUUGAUGCCAUAGAGUUGAUUGGUUGAUGACUUGUUCUUCAUGUAUUUGUUUUUCGAUUUUGCCUUGUUGACUUUGUGCAUCGUUUCUAGUCUAGACUUCUAGUUUCCUACAAUGACAUUUGGGAUUUCAAGCAUUUUAAUAUCUUACAUGUUACAAUCUCUUUGAGACUUGUAUUCGUAAAUCUGUUAUGUGAUUGUACUAUUAC